GAUGAACGCUGGCGGCGUGCCUAAUGCAUGCAAGUCGAGCGAACGGACGAGAAGCUUGCUUCUCUGAUGUUAGCGGCGGACGGGUGAGUAACACGUGGAUAACCUACCUAUAAGACUGGGAUAACUUCGGGAAACCGGAGCUAAUACCGGAUAAUAUUUUGAACCGCAUGGUUCAAAAGUGAAAGACGGUCUUGCUGUCACUUAUAGAUGGAUCCGCGCUGCAUUAGCUAGUUGGUAAGGUAACGGCUUACCAAGGCAACGAUGCAUAGCCGACCUGAGAGGGUGAUCGGCCACACUGGAACUGAGACACGGUCCAGACUCCUACGGGAGGCAGCAGUAGGGAAUCUUCCGCAAUGGGCGAAAGCCUGACGGAGCAACGCCGCGUGAGUGAUGAAGGUCUUCGGAUCGUAAAACUCUGUUAUUAGGGAAGAACAUAUGUGUAAGUAACUGUGCACAUCUUGACGGUACCUAAGCAGAAAGCCACGGCUAACUACGU
rnacentral:rRNA from 1 species